rnacentral:lncRNA from 1 species
CAAAAUAUGGUGACAAGAGUGUAUAUUUUGACUUGGAGGAUUUGGGAAACACCACUGGUCAGUGGGACUUGUAUGGAUCAGAUGCACCUUCACCCUACAACCCCCUUCAGGUAUUAUACUUGCUUUUCUCCCCUUUAUAAACAUCCACAUUAUAUUCUCUAUUAAAAUGCUCCAUAUUAAUUUACUUGCCAUGACUGUGGAUAGUACUUGUGUAAGUGAACUCACAUACUGAGUUAUAACUGUUCCUCCUAUUACUUUUAUAUUUUGUAGAGCAAGUUCUUUGAGACAUUUGCUGCUCCUUUCACAAAGAGAGGUCUGUUGCUCAAGUUCUUGAUCUUGGGAGGUGGCUCAACUCUUGCUUACUUCAGUUCAACUGCAUCAGGGGAUAUCCUACCAAUCAAGAAAGGGCCUCAACUUCCUCCAAAGCUCGGGCCACGUGGCAAGAUCUAAUUGCUUUUUAGACCAAAUUUCUUGACCUUCAUUUCAUAAUUGAUGUACUAUCUAUCACAGCUUGUAAGUAUA